UUUCUUUGUUUCAAUUGGAAACUUCUCAUCAAAGAGAUCAAAGGAUUUGGGUCACUUCAGGCUGCAGUGUGAAUUUAGCCUAAAAUGUCCUCAGGUGUGAGUGUUAGUGAGUGUAUGCAUGGUUACUCAUUGUGUGUCUUUGUGUUUCCAGCACUGCAGUUAACUGGGCUGGCAAACUUUCUACAGUGUUCUUUACGUUGCCAAGACAUUCUUAUCAAAUAAGUUUUAUCUGCCUGAAAAAAUGAAUAACCAAACAAAAUGAAAAACAAAUUAAGACAGUGUAUUGUUGUUUCUGUUUUGGUCUGACAAGGGUCUAGCUUUACAGCAUUACAGCUGUUUUCAGUUGCACUUGAGCAGCUACAUUUUCUCCUAAAAGUGAGAAAGCAUUAAAUAACAAGUCAAAUUCCACUGGAGUUUUAUCAUGAAGGAAAGCUCCAUAGUUUCUAAAUAAUCAAACUGACAAGUUUUCAGUCAAGCGUUGAUUCCCUCCAACCACAUUAAACACGCCCAAGAACAUAAAACUUAAAUUGUUCUGAAGGCCAUGUUCCUAGCUUCGCCACCAGGUGGCGCGGCCUUUCGUGGGUAGUAUUUCUUUUUCAUACCAAAACAUUGUUUGAGAAGCCGUACAGGACAGCGGACGUGGUGUUUGAAGGUGGUUUUGGGAUUUCGUUCGAGUGUGAGUCCAUAUGAGUGGUAGGUUGCAGUGUAUUUGUUUGAGUGGAAUUAUAUGUGUAUUUUAGUACUUUGAACAUUUUCUGUUGUUAGAUUUUUUAGCUAAUUUCUGUUCUAAAAUGGUAAACCAUAUUAUGUUUAGUUGCUUUCUUUUACUUUAUUUAACUAUAAUAGUAAUGAAACCGACAAAUAAUAUGAUUAUAAUAUGUUUGUAAAUGAGUAUCUGCGUUCAUGGUGGAUUGUAAUUUGUAUUUAUUUAUUUUCUUUGUAGAACCACACACCUGUACACUUAAAUCCACACCCCUCCGGUCUGUGAAGCAGUUGUAACCUGCUGACUAAAGAGUCAAAACCAUCACCUGGCUUCAUUAUUGGCUCAGGGUCAUCUGGGCGUCUAAUCGGUGCACAUUCUGUGAUCCCCAUUGUCAUUCCGAAAACCAGACGUGCGAACAACAUAAACGACUGAAACUUUCUGCAUAAUCUCUGUUUACAAUCAGCUUUCUGAGCAAGAUGAAGUGUUUGGUGAUACUUAUGUUUUGUCAUGCUAUAUCUGCAGAGUCACACUUCCUGAAGAUUUACUUCACUGGAUCUUCUGGGUUCACAAAUGUUCCUGCAUUUGAAAUUGUUGGAAAAUUCGAUGACAUCGAAGGAGCUUACUGUAACAACAAAAUAGUUGAUUCAAAAAUAGACUUUGUGAAGAAAUUAUUUAGUGAUGACCCAAAACUAUUUGAGUUUAUAAAAAGUAGUUGCUUUCUCACUAAUCCUGCCUUCUUAAGACAUAUGAUCGCUGAGCUUAUGAAGAAAUUCAAUCAAAGUGAAGGUAUCCACACUUUCCAGAGGAUAGGUGGCUGUGAACUGAACAUGGAAACUAUAGAGGUUACUGGCUUUUUGAAGUACGGUUAUGAUGGAGAAGACUUUCUUGAAUUUGAUUUAAAGGGACUGAAAUGGAUUGCACUGAGAAAAGAGGCUCUUUUUCUCAAACAGCUUUGGGAAAUGGAUAGACAAAAUCUCAUUUAUAACAGAGAUCUCCUCACAAAUCGAUGCUAUCAGGCUCUUAAUUACUCCUUGGUCGCUGGACACAACUAUUUGUUUAGAACAGAUUACCCCUCAGUUUCUCUCCUUCAGAAGACUCCCUCCUCUCCAGUCAGGUGUCACGCUACUGGUUUCUACCCAAAGAGUUUCCUGAUGUUCUGGAGGAAGGAUGGAGAGGAGAUUCAUGAGGGUGUGGACCCUGGAGAUAUCCUCAACAAUGAGGAUAGUACAUUCCAGUAUCGUGUUGAUCUGGAUAUUUCUUCAAUCCCACCUGAGGACUGGGCGAGGUACGACUGUGUGUUUCAGUUUACUGGAGCUGAGGACAAAAUCCUGAUCAAGCUGGAUAAAGAAGUAAUCAAGACCAACAGGGAUCAAUCAUCUGAGAUAAGGAUUAUCAUUAUUGUUGUCAUUUCUGCUGUGAUAACCAUCAUCAUCAUUGCUUUAGCAUUUACUGCCUACAAGAAGAGAAAUGGUAAGAGCAUCUUAAAGCUGGACUUGUCCUCAAACUUAAUCAAGUACAAACUGAAGAAGACAGCAAAAAAUUACUCUUAAGUUGAAUGUAACAUUAAAUAGGAAAACAUAAAAAUAUAGAUAUUUUCUCUUUUAAAGUUGUGUUAUAUGUUUGCAUUUUGAAACCCAAAUUAUCUGUGUUAGUUUCAGAAAGACCGCUCAUCCCUGAUUCUGAAAACAUGCCUCUGAGAAACUGACAUGAGAAUCAAGAUGGAGAAAUGCAGCAUCCUGCUCUGACUUUGGUUUCCUAAUGGGAUUGUGGGAAUUUAAGCCUAUAUGAAAUCAAAAAGAAUAAGUUAGGCUUUAUCAAAGUAAUACCUGUCAUUCAUUUAAUUUGUACAAAUAAAAUCCCUCUAAGGAUGAAUUCAUACCUA